GUUUAAACAAUCCAGACAUAUCAAUUAUUUUUUACAAUUUUUCCUAAAUUCUUCAUUCUUGUGUCACGCUUUUGCUUAAUCUUACACAAUCUGCCUGGCCCUGACCCAUUGUUAGGUCCGAAAGUAAAAAACUUAAAUUGGUGUACAUUAAAUUCCCAGCCCCCAGUCCACCUGCCCCAAAAGCCAUACCAUAGACUGGCAUUUUAGAAACCAUCUAAAAUAGGGGGCCUGUCCAGACCGCGCUCAGCCAAGCGGGGCACAAGAAGUGUGAGAUGAAGACGAGUAUCGGGCAUAAAAAUGUUUAAUGAAUAAUUCUCUUACACAUCAAAGACCAAGCAACAGGGCCCCACUGUCUCAUUCUGAGCCACUCAAAAAAGAUGUGUCAGCCCUUUCGGUAGAGUAUUAAAUGAGUACCACUUUUUUUCGAGGCUUUACGCCCACAUUAAUACGAUUUAUGAAGUCGCGGAGCUUCCGACAUUGACUUGGUCCUUGCCAUCCAGGGUCCUUGCCAUCCAGGGUCCUUGGAGGUGUCUCAACCAAAAAUAAGGAAAACAGUGGGGUGGGGGGAGGGGAGGACUUGCAGGAAGACGGUGAGGAUUGCUGUACCGCGCUGUAAAUAUUUGUAAAUACACCAACUCUUGCCCGACCACCGACCGGCAUUUUUUUGCGUUUUGUGUUGUGUUGUGUUCGGCUGUUUGUUUUCUAUUUUUCUCUUUCUUUGCAUCUUUGCCUCAGUAUUUGUGUGUUUUUUGCAGCUAAUAUAAAGUUGAUGUGUUGCUGCUGUGUAGAAUGUUUUGUAUCCUCCUUUCUAUAAAAGUAAACUUCUUUUUGGCGCCUAAUAGCGCCAAUUUUUGUUCCCUCUUUUUAGGCUCAGGAGGAGUCAUGGUGAUGAAGUGAUAGUUCUAAGUGAUAGUAUGAACCUCAUAUGUUGUGUUGUUUUCUGUCGCUGUUGCUCUAUUGACAUUUCAUUGGAAAAUGUUUUUAUUCAUUGAAACGCGUGUGUGCCUUUAAUUGUCAGGUAACACUACCCGACUCGAUUUUUCGAUUAA
rnacentral:lncRNA from 1 species